UUGGUCACAGUGUGGCGGCAGAAGUGAUUGACAGAGCAAGCAUCCAAUAGCUGACCAGCUGACGCCCACAGCUCUUUCGUGAUUGGACAGAUUAUUCUAAUAUAUAUUUGUGUCGUAACUUUCUUACUGUCUCUUUCACUAACCUCAGCUCUGGAAAGUUCUUGGAAGCACUGCAAAGAUGCCCAGGAAAGACGAGGCCACGUGGAGCCCCCAACUAUUUAACGUUAACUAACAUUCAUCCAACUUUUGGAUGACUAUCCAAAAUGCUUCAUUGUGGGCUCAAAGCAGAUUCAAACCAUUCGCCUGUGUCUGCGUGGAAAGGCUGUGGUGCUGAUGGGUAAAAACACCAUGAUGCGCAAAGCUAUUCGCGGCCACCUGGAGAACAAUGCUGCCCUGGAGAAGAAACGUGGGCUUUGUCUUCACCAAGGAGGAUCUGGCUGAAGUCCGGGACCUGCUGUUGUACAAUAAGGUUCCGUUGCUGGAGCAAUCGCUACUUGUCAUGUGACUACGCCAGCCCAGAGCACGGUCCUUUUCCGGCAGGUGUAUGACAAUGGCAGUGCUGAGUCAUUCGGUGCUUGACAUUACAGAGGCUUCUCUGCAUACAAAGUUCCUGGAGUUUCUAGCGGUUGUCUGGAGAUCGAUGCGGAUUACGCCUUCCACCUGGCAGACAAGGUAAAGGCCGUCCUGGCACACAUGACUAUUUAGCUGCUGCAUUAACUUUUGCAGCUGCUGAGAAUUAGUCUGAGGCAUCUGACCACAUGGUAUUCGACACCAAUACGAUAGCUAGGUUUGAACUGAACCAUGAAUCAAUAAAAUCUCUUAAAUACCCCA